rnacentral:lncRNA from 1 species
GUGAAUCAGGACCAGUGCAAUAAAUCACCCUCAAUACUUCCUGUGAAUGGCAACUGCUGAAGGGAAGCUUCUGCCUCUCAUCAUACACUGCCCCGGGGGGAACAAAAUAGAUCAUUACAAUGGAGGCCAAAGAGUGCUUGAAUGUCUCUGCUGAAGGCUUUCAAUAAAUAUUUGUUGAAAAGGAAAGAAGGAAGAAAGGAAAGGAAGAAGGAAGGAAGAAAGGAAGGAGUUAAUGAAGACUCAAGGGAGAGUUUGAAGGUGGGCUGGCAGAGACCGUGACCGCAACUGACUGCGUUCUGCAGAAUUAUGGUAAUGAAAUUGGAAUCCAACUUUCAUGAAGCAGAAAGCCUCAAGUCUUCAUAUGUUUUGCAGAAAGCUAAUUAUGGCUUUCCAUGUGAUUUUU